rnacentral:rRNA from 1 species
GAUGAACGCUGUCGGCGUGCCUAAUACAUGCAAGUCGAGCGAACGAACCAUAAUCUUGCUUCUCUCUUGUUUGCGGCGGACGUGUGUUUAACAUGUGUAUCACCUACCUAUAUUUCUUGUAUAUCUUCGUGAAUCCGUAUCUUAUACCGUAUGAUAUUUUGAUCCGUAUGGUUCAUAAGUCAUUUUCGGUUUUUCUGUCACUUCUAGCUGCAUCGGCGCUUCAUUAGCUAGUUGUUAAGGUAACGGCUUACCAAGGCUACGAUGCAUAGCCGACCUGAGAGGAGGAGCGGCCACACUGGAAGUGAGACACGGUACAGACGCCUAGGGGAGGGAGCAGUAGGGAAUCUUCCGCAAGGGGCGAAAGAAUGACGGAGAAACGCGGAGUGAGUGAAGAAGGACUUCGGAUGGUAAAACACGGUUAUUAGGGAAGAAAAAAAGUGUAAGUAACAGUGAACAUGAGGACGGUAACUAAACAAAAAGCCACGGCUAACUACGUG